GACGAACGCUGGCGGCGUGCUUAACACAUGCCAGUCGAACGAUAAGGCCCUUCGGGGUACACGAGUGGCGAACGGGCGAGUAACACGUGGGUGAUUUGCCCUCAACUUCCGGCUAAGCCUGGGAAACUGGGUCGAAUACCGGCUAGGACCGCUGCCUGCCUGGUGGGUGGGGGAAAGCUUUUGCGGUGUGGGCUGGGCCCGGGGCCUAUCAGCUUGUUGGGGGGGUGAUGGCCUACCCAGGCGCAGCCGGGUCACCGGCCUGAGAGGGUGACCGGCCACACUGGGACUGAGAUAAGGCCCAGACUCCUACGGGAGGCAGCAGUGGGGAAUAUUGCACAAUGGGCGCAAGCCUGAUGCAGCGACGCCGCGUGAGGGAUGACGGCCUUCGGGUUGUAAACCUCUUUCAGCUAUGACGAAGCGCAAGUGACGGUAGUAGCAGAAGAAGGACCGGCCAACUACGUGCCAGCCGCCGCCGUAA
rnacentral:rRNA from 1 species